AGCGAACGCUGGCGGCAGGCUUAACACAUGCAAGUCGAGCGGGCACUUCGGUGUCAGCGGCAGACGGGUGAGUAACACGUGGGAACGUACCCUUUGGUUCGGAAUAACGCUGGGAAACUAGCGCUAAUACCGGAUACGCCCUUUUGGGGAAAGGCUUGCUGCCGAAGGAUCGGCCCGCGUCUGAUUAGCUCGUUGGUGGUGUAAUAGCCUACCAAGGCGACGAUCAGUAGCUGGUCUGAGAGGAUGAUCAGCCACACUGGGACUGAGACACGGCCCAGACUCCUACGGGAGGAAGCAGUGGGGAAUAUUGGACAAUGGGCGCAAGCCUGAUCCAGCCAUGCCGCGUGAGUGAUGAAGGCCUUAGGGUUGUAAAGCUCUUUUGUCCGGGACGAUAAUGACGGUACCGGAAGAAUAAGACCCGGCUAACUUCGUG
rnacentral:rRNA from 1 species